rnacentral:rRNA from 1 species
AGGCUGAGUAUUAGGCAAAUCCGGUACUCGUUAAGGCUGAGCUGUGAUGGGGAGAAGACAUUGAGUCUUCGAGUCGUUGAUUUCACACUGCCGAGAAAAGCCUCUAGAUAGAAAAUAGGUGCCCGUACCGCAAACCGACACAGGUAGUCAAGAUGAGAAUUCUAAGGUGAGCGAGCGAACUCUCGUUAAGGAACUCGGCAAAAUGACCCCGUAACUUCGGGAGAAGGGGUGCUCUUUAGGGUUAACGCCCAGAAGAGCCGCAGUGAAUAGGCCCAAGCGACUGUUUAUCAAAAACACAGGUCUCUGCUAAACCGUAAGGUGAUGUAUAGGGGCUGACGCCUGCCCGGUGCUGGAAGGUUAAGAGGAGUGGUUAGCUUCUGCGAAGCUACGAAUCGAAGCCCCAGUAAACGGCGGCCGUAACUAUAACGGUCCUAAGGUAGCGAAAUUCCUUGUCGGGUAAGUUCCGACCCGCACGAAAGGCGUAACGAUUUGGGCACUGUCUCAACGAGAGACUCGGUGAAAUCAUAGUACCUGUGAAGAUGCAGGUUACCCGCGACAGGACGGAAAGACCCCGUGGAGCUUUACUGUAGCCUGAUAUUGAAAUUCGGCACAGCUUGUACAGGAUAGGUAGGAGCCUUUGAAACGUGAGCGCUAGCUUACGUGGAGGCGCUGGUGGGAUACUACCCUAGCUGUGUUGGCUUUCUAACCCGCACCACUUAUCGUGGUGGGAGACAGUGUCAGGCGGGCAGUUUGACUGGGGCGGUCGCCUCCUAAAAGGUAACGGAGGCGCUCAAAGGUUCCCUCAGAAUGGUUGGAAAUCAUUCAUAGAGUGUAAAGGCAUAAGGGAGCUUGACUGCGAGACCUACAAGUCGAGCAGGGUCGAAAGACGGACUUAGUGAUCCGGUGGUUCCGCAUGGAAGGGCCAUCGCUCAACGGAUAAAAGCUACCCCGGGGAUAACAGGCUUAUCUCCCCCAAGAGUUCACAUCGACGGGGAGGUUUGGCACCUCGAUGUCGGCUCAUCGCAUCCUGGGGCUGUAGUCGGUCCCAAGGGUUGGGCUGUUCGCCCAUUAAAGCGGUACGCGAGCUGGGUUCAGAACGUCGUGAGACAGUUCGGUCCCUAUCCGUCGUGGGCGUAGGAAAUUUGAGAGGAGCUGUCCUUAGUACGAGAGGACCGGGAUGGACAUACCUCUGGUGUACCAGUUGUCGUGCCAACGGCAUAGCUGGGUAGCUAUGUGUGGACGGGAUAAGUGCUGAAAGCAUCUAAGCAUGAAGCCCCCCUCAAGAUGAGAUUUCCCAACUUCGGUUAUAAGAUCCCUCAAAGAUGAUGAGGUUAAUAGGUUCGAGGUGGAAGCAUGGUGACAUGUGGAGCUGACGAAUACUAAUCGAUCGAAGACUUAAUC